rnacentral:rRNA from 1 species
GAUGAACGCUAGCGGCAGGCUUAACACAUGCAAGUCGAGGGGUAACAUUGUAGCUUGCUACAGAUGACGACCGGCGCACGGGUGCGUAACGCGUAUGAAACCUACCUAAUACAGGGAGAUAGCCCAGAGAAAUUUGGAUUAAUAUCCCAUGGUACUGUUGGAUCGCAUGAUUCAAUAGUUAAAGAUUUAUCGGUAUUAGAUGGUCAUGCGUUCUAUUAGUUAGUUGGUAAGGUAACGGCUUACCAAGGCAGCGAUAGAUAGGGGCCCUGAGAGGGGGAUCCCCCACACUGGUACUGAGACACGGACCAG